AACGAACGCUGGCGGCAUGCCUAACACAUGCAAGUCGAACGAGACCUUCGGGUCUAGUGGCGCACGGGUGCGUAACACAUGGGAAUUUGCCUCGGGGUAUGGAAUAACUCAGGGAAACUUGAGCUAAUACCAUAUAAUGUCUUCGGACCAAAGAUUUAUCACCCUGAGAUAAGCCCGCGUAGGAUUAGCUAGUUGGUGGGGUAAAGGCUCACCAAGGCGACGAUCCUUAGCUGGUCUGAGAGGAUGAUCAGCCACACUGGGACUGAGACACGGCCCAGACUCCUACGGGAGGCAGCAGUGGGGAAUAUUGGACAAUGGGCGAAAGCCUGAUCCAGCAAUGCCGCGUGAGUGAUGAAGGCCUUCGGUUGGUUAAAGACUCUUUUACUCGGGUACGGAUAAUAGUACGG
rnacentral:rRNA from 1 species